rnacentral:rRNA from 1 species
AUUGAACGCUGGCGGCAUGCCUUACACAUGCAAGUCGAACGGUAACAGGUUAAGCUGACGAGUGGCGAACGGGUGAGUAAUGUAUCGGAACGUGCCCAGUCGUGGGGGAUAACUGCUCGAAAGAGCAGCUAAUACCGCAUACGACCUGAGGGUGAAAGCGGGGGAUCGCAAGACCUCGCGCGAUUGGAGCGGCCGAUAUCAGAUUAGGUAGUUGGUGGGGUAAAGGCCUACCAAGCCUACGAUCUGUAGCUGGUCUGAGAGGACGACCAGCCACACUGGGACUGAGACACGGCCCAGACUCCUACGGGAGGCAGCAGUGGGGAAUUUUGGACAAUGGACGCAAGUCUGAUCCAGCCAUGCCGCGUGCGGGAAGAAGGCCUUCGGGUUGUAAACCGCUUUUGUCAGGGAAGAAAAGGUUCUGGUUAAUACCUGGGACUCAUGACGGUACCUGAAGAAUAAGCACCGGCUAACUACGUGCCAGCCGCCGCAGUAA